ensembl:snRNA U1 U1 spliceosomal RNA
AUACUUACUUGGCAGGGGAGAUACCAUGAUCACGAAGGUAGUUUUCCCAGGGCAAGGCCUAUCCGUUGUACUCUGGAUGUGCUGACCCCUGCAAUUUCCCCAAAUGUGGGAAACUUGACUGCAUAAUUUGUGGUAGUGGGAGACUGCGUUCGCGAUCUCCCC